AAUAUAUACCCACGCAAGUAUUUUCAUUAAGGAGGUUGUAAGGCAAAUGCAAUAUGUUAAGAAUUACUUGAAAAAAUUAUAGA